GACGAACGCUGGCGGCGUGCUUAACACAUGCAAGUCGAACGGAAAGGCCCUGCUUGCAGGGUGCUCGAGUGGCGAACGGGUGAGUAACACGUGGGUGAUCUGCCCUGCACUUCGGGAUAAGCCUGGGAAACUGGGUCUAAUACCGGAUAGGAGCCAUUUUUAGUGUGAUGGUUGGAAAGUUUUUUCGGUGUAGGAUGAGCUCGCGGCCUAUCAGCUUGUUGGUGGGGUAAUGGCCUACCAAGGCGGCGACGGUAGCCGGCCUGAGAGGGUGGACGGCCACAUUGGGACUGAGAUACGGCCCAGACUCCUACGGGAGGCAGCAGUGGGGAAUAUUGCACAAUGGGCGCAAGCCUGAUGCAGCGACGCCGCGUGGGGGAUGA
rnacentral:rRNA from 1 species